rnacentral:rRNA from 1 species
GGGGAAUAUUGCGCAAUGGGGGCAACCCUGACGCAGCCAUGCCGCGUGAAUGAAGAAGGCCUUCGGGUUGUAAAGUUCUUUCGGUAGCGAGGAAGGCAUUUAGUUUAAUAGACUAGGUGAUUGACGUUAACUACAGAAGAAGCACCGGCUAACUCCGUGCCAGCAGCCGCGGUAAUACGGAGGGUGCGAGCGUUAAUCGGGAUAACUGGGCGUAAAGGGCACGCAGGCGGACUUUUAAGUGAGGUGUGAAAGCCCCGGGCUUAACCUGGGAAUUGCAUUUCAGACUGGGAGUCUAGAGUACUUUAGGGAGGGGUAGAAUUCCACGUGUAGCGGUGAAAUGCGUAGAGAUGUGGAGGAAUACCGAAGGCGAAGGCAGCCCCUUGGGAAUGUACUGACGCUCAUGUGCGAAAGCGUGGGGAGCAAACAGGAUUAGAUACCCUGGUAGUCCACGCUGUAAACGAUGUCGAUUUGGGGGUUGAACUUUAAGUUUGGCGCCCGUAGCUAACGUGAUAAAUCGACCGCCUGGGGAGUACGGCCGCAAGGUUA